UGGCAAGGGGUACCCCUUAUGAAAUUUUCGAGUGGAAAAUUUUUUUGAAAUUUUUUUCUGAUUUUUUAUUUUUUUUAUAAUUUAAAGCAUUAUUUGAGUGAAAAGAAACUUAUUGCAACAAACUCGCAAUAAAAUAUAUCACAUUUAAAAAUUUUGCUGAAUUGCAGAAAAAUGAGGAAAAUUUUACAUUUUCUUAAACAGGGUAAGGAACUUGGUUCCUCGCAUAACUUCUGGCACAGACAUCUGAGGGCAUGGCCGCCCAAGAAGAAAAUGUAGGCAUUGAUGCCAUCUAUCGACCCCAAGCAAAGAUCGGAGAUCCGUUAGAUACCGACCGAGUUAUAGGCAAAAUUUGGUGCAAAAAUGAGGAAAAUUUUACAUUUUCUCAAACAGGGUAAGGAACUUGGUUCCUCGCAUAACUUCUGGCACAGACAUCUGAGGGCAUGGCCGUCCAAGAAGAAAAUGUAGCCAUUGGUGCCAUCUAUCGACCACAGGUUAAAGAUUGGCGAUCCGUUGGAUACCGACCGAGCUAUAGGCAAAACUUGGUGCGAAAAUGAGCCUUAGUGGAUUGACAAAUUUAUAGAUUUUUUCAAUUUUUUUCAUUAUUUUUUACCUUUUUUUAAUUUAAAGCAUUGUUUGAGUGAAAAGGAACUAAUUGCAACAAUUUCUCAUUAAAAUAAAACAAAUUUUUAAAUUUUGCUAAAUUUCUCAAAAAAUUUCAAGGGGUACCCCUUAUGAAAUUUUCGAGUGGAAAAUUUUUUUGAAAUUUUUUUCUGAUUUUUUAUUCUUUUUUAAUUUAAAGCAUUAUUUGAGUGAAAAGAAACUUAUUGCAACAAACUCGCAAUAAAAUAUAUCACAUUUAAAAAUUUUGCUGAAUUGCAGAAAAAUGAGGAACAUUUUACAUUUUCUCAAACAGGGUAAGGAACUUGGUUCCUCGCAUAACUUCUGGCACAGACAUCUGAGGGCAUGGCCGUCCAAGAAGAAAAUGUAGCCAUUGAUGCCAUCUAUCGACCAUAGGCAAAAAUUGGAGAUCCGUUGGAUACCGACCGAGUUAUAGGCAAAAUUUGGUGCAAAAAUGAGGAAAAUUUUACAUUUUCUCAAACAGGGUAAGGAACUUGGUUCCUCGCAUAACUUCUGGCACAGACAUCUGAGGGCAUGGCCGUCCAAGAAGAAAAUGUAGGCAUUGAUGCCAUCUAUCGACCCCAUGCAAAGAUUGGAGAUCCGUUAGAUACCAACCGAGUUAUAGGCAAAACUUGGUGCAAAAAUGAGGAAAAUUUUACAUUUUCUCAAACAGGGUAAGGAACUUGGUUCCUCGCAUAACUUCUGGCACAGACAUCUGAGGGCAUGGCCGUCAACGAAGAAAAUGUAGCCAUUGGUGCCAUCUAUCGACCACAGGUUAAAGAUUGGCGAUCCGUUGGAUACCGACCGAGCUAUAGGCAAAACUUGGUGCGAAAAUGAGCCUUAGUGGAUUGACAAAUUUAUAGAUUUUUUCAAUUUUUUUCAUUAUUUUUUACCUUUUUUUAAUUUAAAGCAUUGUUUGAGUGAAAAGGAACUAAUUGCAACAAUUUCGCAUUAAAAUAAAACAAAUUUUUAAAUUUUGCUAAAUUUCUCAAAAAAAUGGCAAGGGGUACCCCUUAUGAAAUUUUCAA